GACGAACGCUGGCGGCGUGCUUAACACAUGCAAGUCGAACGGAAAGGCCCUGCUUGCAGGGUACUCGAGUGGCGAACGGGUGAGUAACACGUGGGUGAUCUGCCCUGCACUUCGGGAUAAGCCUGGGAAACUGGGUCUAAUACCGGAUAGGCGCCAUUUUUAGUGUGAUGGUUGGAAAGUUUUUUCGGUGUAGGAUGAGCUCGCGGCCUAUCAGCUUGUUGGUGGGGUAAUGGCCUACCAAGGCGGCGACGGGUAGCCGGCCUGAGAGGGUGGACGGCCACAUUGGGACUGAGAUACGGCCCAGACUCCUACGGGAGGAAGCAGUGGGGAAUAUUGCACAAUGGGCGCAAGCCUGAUGCAGCGACGCCGCGUGGGGGAUGACGGCCUUCGGGUUGUAAACUCCUUUCGCUAGGGACGAAGCUUUUUGUGACGGUACCUAGAGAAGAAGCACCGGCUAACUACGUG
rnacentral:rRNA from 1 species